rnacentral:snoRNA from 1 species
UGGAGAACCAUAUUGUGUUACAGAAAAAGAAUCAUAAGUGUAUGCCUACAGUGUUUGCUAGAGCAGUUUUGAAGUGGUUCAAGGCCUUGCUGUGCUCCAUCCAGGGCAAGGAUAUAGAAAUUUCAGACAAUU